UUGAAUGCAUAACAUUUACAAUAAGAUAGAGUUGACAUGAUAGCAACACAAGUAUGAUCCAAUAGCUAUUAUAGAGACAUGUUUUAAAGGUAGCUAGGACCCCAACAUUCCAGGUUACACAUAGGUUCAAAAGAACAGGAAGCGGGGGAGGGGCGUGAGGUGUUCAAGAUGGCAGCGCCCUGUGGAAUGCAGGGUCUGUGAGAGGGCUGCCCUGCUAGUCAGCAGUUUAGCACUGCAGAGGGGAAGAUUUUAAAAAAAGAAAAAAAAACAGGCCAAAAGGGAAAGUAAGCAUUGUUAAGCAAGCUAUCAGAACAGUACCAAGUCAUGAUAGAGGCAGUGGAUAGAAACAUAGAAUCAAUUUUGGUUGAAAUUAUGAAUAGCAGGGAAAAGACAAGUUGGAGUAGUCAACAGACCUUCAAAAUGUGACCUCUUAAUAAGGCAGAGCAUAAAUGGGGAAAUAGCUAGGGCACAUUUUAAGGUAAUGACAAUUGUCAUAGGAGAUUUUAAUCUACAUACUGAUUGGAUGAACCUAACCGGCAAUAGUAUCACCACAAGAAUUUGUGGAGUGUCAGAUAUUGCUUCUUACAACAGUAUGCUAUGGAACCCAACCAGGAACAGGCCAUUUUAGUUUUGGGCAUGAGUAACAAGGAAGAAUUAAUUAAGAGAUCUUGUGGUAAAAGAUCCCCUAAGGUGACCACAAUGUUAUAGAAUUCCAAAUGCAGUUUCAGGGUGAACACCAUAGGACCAAAACAACUGCUUUCGACGUGAAUAAAGGCAAUUAAUAACGGUGUGAAGAUGGAGUUAACCUAUUUUCCCAGUCCACCUUAACUGAGAGAGAGGUCAAUAGAUGAACAGAAGCAGAUAUUCAAAAUAGCUGGUCAGUUACACUGAGCAAGAAUUUAUCCCAAUUGGAAAGAUUGAUCCCACAAGAAAAAAAAUCUAUGGUUAGCAAAGGAGAUCAAGCAUGUUAAAUUGAAAACUAGGGUAUACAAAGUGGCAGAGGCUGGUGGUAGGCAAGAGGACCAGGGAGUUUAGAAUCCAGCCAUGAAAGACUAAAAAGCUCAUGACAGAAAAUUGAUUUUGAAAUCAAAUGCGUAAUAUCAAAACAGCAAGAUUUUAUGGAUAUACAAAUAGGAAGGUGGUGAGACUUAUAGAGAACAAGGCUGGCAAGUAAAUAACAGGAGACAAAGAAAUGGCAGAUAUGUUAAAUCUUCUGUUUUUGCAUCAGUCUUCACUAUGGAGGAUGCUGCAAAUAUUUGCAAAAUAACAGAUGGGCCAAUUUCAAAUGGAGGUACUUGUAAAAAUUCAAGUCACAAGGGUGAAGUAUUAGAGAAAUUCAGGGCUAAGGCAAACAUAUCAGUAGGACCCAAUGGCCCACACCCAGGGUUUUAAGAUUUUUAAAAAAUCAGCCUCCAAGUCUUCAUUACAAGUGAAUACUCUCACGUUUCACCAUGUUACACUCUGCCACCUUUUUGUUCACACUCAGUAAUAUCCCUUUACCAUCUCCAGAUUUUCCUAACAGAUAAUUUGUCAUACUCAUAGCAACAAACAUGAAUAUAUUACAUUUAGAAUAUUCAUUCAUGUAAUUAGAAUGGACUGCAAACACAAUCACAUCUGGAAUUACUACAUCAAGAACCUACACGACAAUGACUUUUGUACAUAAACAUUUCAAAUCCUGGAAAGUUUUUUUUUUGUUGCUCUUUGCUCAAUAUAUGGAAAGAGGAACGAGGCGAAAACAAACACAAAGGAAGGCUAAUAAAGUUGGGCCCAUGCUUCUCAAAAAAGUAAUAUUUAAUUUGCAAAAUAAAGUGAAGUGAAAGUUUACUACCAGUUUACAAAAGAUAAAGUAGCCUCAUAUUAAAAAUUAGAAAAUAAGUAUAUUGCCUUUCUGCCCAACUUAUCCAUAAGGCUAAUGCAGAAAACCACCUUAUUCCAAAAGGCUAUAGGUUGUACACAAGAGAAAUUUUCUAUGAAAGUGUCAAAGCAAAUCACUAUUUUUGGAACUAUCAUUAGCAAAACACCUUUGUUAUUAAAAAAAAGGCAAUUAAGUGAUGAUCCAAAAGAAUAAUCCUGUUGCAUUUACUAGCCUACCAUUUAAAACAUUUGUUUCUUCCAGGUUGGCUCUUAGGGAGGAUUUUAGGACAGAUUUAAGCUAAUUCACAGUUUACAGCAGAAUCACAAAAUUACUGUUUUGCUUGUUAAACUCCAUUGAUGCCAUUAUUUUUAACUCUGUGGGAUAAACUGCAUUAAGUGUCCUUAAGGUCCCUCAGAACAGAAUCUUGAAUCAAUAGAAAUGGGCUCCAAGCAUGACAGCUAAAGAAUUGUCAACAGGUGUAGAAUGGCCUAACAAUAUUACUCGUAUAAACUUCUAGCUGUGGACCAACCACUCGACCCAAACGAUGAUUUUUCUAGAAAAUAAACAGGCAGAUGAUUAAAAAUCUGUGCAAUGGCCGAAACCAUAGACAGGAUUCCAGCAUCUACAGUCUCUAGUGUUUCCACAGGAAUGAGCGAUCCAGUAACUUGAGUGCGCUUCGGGAUUUACACUGUCGCCUCUCUGACUUCCUCCCACGGUUCUGCUCCACACCCCAACACCUCAAUUGCUUCCUCCGUCAACAAGUGACAGCCCGGGGACAUAACGCCGUCUGGUUUUGCGGGGCGGGAACAAAACUCGCCCGCUUCAACAGUAAAUUCAGCCGCCGAAAGCCGGAUGCAGUAAUGGCGGAGGCACGUGUACAAUAGAGAGAAAACGAGGCGUGAGCCGGACUGAACACCCGUCGGGGGAAACAAAAAACAAGUACCGAGCGGCAGGCAUUUAGCGCCGCCCUGAGCUGGCUGACGUCAUUCUACGCAACCUGACUGUUGACGUAAAAAGCGUAAGGAGGGGGGAAAAAAUGCCGUGUCGGAUGCGUCACUGCGAGUGAGGGAGGGAAGUGAGGUGGCGUGGCGUAGCAUAGCCCGAGGGCUUUUCUCACCGCCCCGGCUACAAUACUUCAGACGUGGUUCAGUUGGUAGUACUUUCCCUCUAAGUCAAAAGGUUGAUGAUUCACCUUGAGUAUCCGUGCUGAAGCGUUGUGUUUUGUGGAAAGGUGUUGGGAAUAAAAGAGAAGAGCUGUUAUAACAUGGAAACCAGGAGAAAUGAUACAAGAGCUGGUGGUUCUGGCUGAAAAAGAUGAUAAAGGCAAAGGAACAGCAAAAAAUAUGGCUGGUGGCAAGUAAAAAUUUCCAGCAUCUGCAGUGUUUGAUUUUCAAUAGCAUCACCUUUUGACCAUCAGGGUGGAGGUACAGGAGCCUGAAGACCCACACUCAAUGAUUUAGGAACAGUUUCUUCCCCUCUGCCAUCAGAUUUCUGAAUGGUCCAUGAACACUACUUCAUUAUUCCUUUUUUUGCACUAUUUACUUCUGUGAUUUUGUUUUUGCACUGUUCUGCUACUGCGACACAACAAAUUUCACAGCAUACAAGUCAGUGAUAAUAAACCUGAUUCUGAUAUGGAAGACAUGAGAGCCAAGUUGAGAGUGAUUGCUCUGGCCACAUAUGGCAUUAAGGAGCCCUGGGACAACUUGCCAUUUGGGCAUCAAGGGCAAAACACAUCAAAUGAUUGGACUGAUACCUCUGACAAGGCAAGAUGGUUGUGUUUGUUGGAGGUGAAUUAUCCGUGUGCCAUGGACAAAAGUGAGGGAGAAACGAUCACUUGGAAAAAAAGUACCGGGUGAAUUAACAAGUCAAGAAGCUGAUGUCCCCUGGACCUGACAGCCAGUAUCCUAGGGUGUUAAAUGAAGUGGCAGCCUAGAAUGUGGAUACAUGUCCUCUUCCAAAAUUCCCUAAAUUCCACAAUAGUCACAGCAGAUUGGAAAGCCACAAAGGGAAUGCCCUUCAAGAAAGGAGGCUGACAGAAAUCGGGAAACCAUAGGCCAGUUGCCCUGAAAUUGUCAUUAGCAAAAAAGAUGAAAUCCAUCAUUAAUAAAGUUGUACCGGUACUAUUAGAAAAUCAUAAAACCAUAAUUGAUGGAUGUUUCUGUGACUAUGUGUUUUCAGUGGGAUUCCACAGAGCUCAGCACUCUCACUUUCUGUUCAUAUAUUAAUGAUUUAGAUUUAAAGACAGUGGGCAUAUAGAGA